CUCCCCCACCAGCACUCCCCAUCGUCCUCCAUCUGCCGCCUGCUCCUCCGCGCGGCCACGCGGAAGCCGCGCAGGAUGGCGCGCACCGCGGCGCAGUCCGCGAACGUGCGCCGCACCCCGCGCAGCGACGUCGUGUACAGCACCACCGCCUGCGGCCGGGGCGCACGCGGCUCGUCCGCGAGCUGAUGCUGCUGGUGCUGCCGUCGCCACCUGGACGCGGCCGCCGGCCGGUGCCCCGGGUGGUGGUGGUACGUCAGCGACCGCGCCAGCUGGAACGGCCUCUUGCCGCCGCCGCCGCAAUCAUCCAUCUCACGCGCCGACGCAGCAGCAGCGGCCGGCCGUGCCGCCGCGGGAGAAGGCGAAUCCAGGCUGUGGCGGUUAACCGGAGGCGAGGAGAAGGGGGAGAAGGAAGACGAAGAGGAAGCGAGCUGGGCAAGCAAUCGACGCGAGAAGAUCAGAAGAAAUGGUUCCUUGUGGGGUUUUUUUUCCGAAAAGAUAUGGGCUUAGAGGCGGCACCGCAGCGACGUGAAGUGGGCGGCCGUGACUUACAAACGGCCACAAGAAGGUUCCUGAACGUGUUGCCGCUCAGACGCUCAGCUGAGCGUGACGCCGUCAUUUUCCC
rnacentral:misc_RNA from 1 species